AAAUUAGAAUUGUAGUAAGACACUAGAUAAAGUAAAUGCCUUUAUUGCAAUCCUUUAAGAGGGAUUGCAAUAUAUAUAUAGAGAGAGAAUUUUGUGGAGCAAGUGAAAUGGGGAAUAAGGCGAGAUGGCCAAAAUUAUUUGUAAUAUCCCCAUUUCAUGUGCUCCUUUUGUCAGUGCUCAUUUCAUUUGUUGGUGGAGAGGAAUUAAUGAAUCCAUUACGAUUGCCUUCUGAACAUGAUAAUCAAGAAAUAUGUGCCUUAAUUAUAGACGGUCUAUGAAUGUAUUGGGAAAUGUCUUGAUUUAUGCUCAGCUUGGAUCACAAUUGAGAACUCUCUCUCAAGGUGUAAACCACAAACGAAUCCUCUGACAUCGAAUGAAGAAUUUUUUGAGCGAGACAUCCUUGAAGGAUGCAAACUGAAUUAUACAAAGAAAGGUUUUAUUCAGUGAAGAGUUCCCUAACUGGAGAGGUUUACACCGACAAUGAAUAAAUGAAAAAAAAGAGACAAGUUUGGUUUUAUAAGAAAAAAAAUAGCAUUUGGCAUAGUAUCUAUUGGACUAAAGGCUUUACACCAUUUUGAUGUCUAAAUAGUUUUUUAGUAUAAAUUACCGAUUUAGAUUUU